UACGGGGGGGUAAGCGUUGUUCGGAAUUACUGGGCGUAAAGGGCUCGUAGGCGGCCAACUAAGUCAGACGUGAAAUCCCUCAGCUUAACUGGGGAACUGCGUCUGAUACUGGAUGGCUUGGAUUCGGGAGAGGAAUGCGGAAUUCCAGGUGUAGCGGUGAAAUGCGUAGAUAUCAGGAGGAACACCAAUUGCGAAGGCAGCUCGCUGGGACGUUACUGACGCUGAGACGCGAAAGCGUGGGGAGCAAACAGG
rnacentral:rRNA from 1 species